rnacentral:rRNA from 1 species
ACUUGGAUAACUGUGGUAAUUCUAGAGCUAAUACAUGCAKGACGAGCGCAUUUAUUAGACCAAAACCAAUUUUGGCGAAUCUGAAUAACUUCAGGUUUUAAACCGGCGAUGUAUCCUUCAAGUGUCUGCCUUAUCAACUUUCGAUGGUAGUUUAUGUGACUACCAUGGUUGCGACGGGUAACGGAGAAUUAGGGUUCGACUCCGGAGAGGGAGCCUGAGAAACGGCUACCACUUCUAAGGAAGGCAGCAGGCGCGCAAAUUACCCACUCUCGGAGAGGAGGUAGUGACGAAAAAUAACGAGAUAACCCGCUUUAUCAUCGGAAUGAGUACAAUAUAAAUCCUUUAACGAGGACCUAGCGGAGGGCAAGUCUG